GAGUGUGACCAUAUUAAGUACCUUUUUUUUUUUUUUUUCCUUCACUAAUGAACUAUUGAGAAUGGUCAUUUUUAGACUAUGAUGAUACAAUUUUAUUUUUUUUGUGUAGGCUGACAUAUUGUUGCGAGGAUACUACGGAUGGAACUCUCGACGUGCCCUCCAAGUGCUGGAUCAAGUUUUACCAAAGGAUGUUGCAACCCAGCCUUCUCUUGUGAUAGUUUAUUUCAGAGUUAAUGAUUCCAUGGGCCCUCAUGUUCCUCUUCACGAAUAUAUUGAAAACAUGAGAAAGAUUCUGAUUCAUAUUCAGUUAUGAAAUUUAGUUUGCUUGAGAACGCCGAUUGCAGAAUUAAGACGAAAAGGUGUCAAGAAAAUAUAGUCUGUGGAUAAUAAUGACCACCCUUUCAAAUGGGCUGCUUAUUAAGACGAAAAAGUGCGUGGAAACACUAGUGGAGUUCUUAGUGAGCUGGUAAGAACGAAUGAAUUGUGCCAAAGCUACUCAGAAGCUUGUAUUAAGCUAUGCAAGGAACUGGAUGUCAAAGUUGUUGAUCUUUUUAAUAAUGCAUUACAGAAGAGAGAUGACUGGAGGAAUGCUUGUUUUACUGAUGGUAUCCAUUGAGCAGCUGAGGGAAGCAAAAUAGUGGUGAAAGAUAUACUGAGCGUGCUUAAGGAGGCUGACUGGGAACUACAUUGGAUUCUGAGUGGACUUUUUACAGAGAGACUCAGUGGGAUUAGGUUGUUCGCUUAUUGACUUUAAUAAUAUCUAUUUGCUCUUACCUCUA